CUAACUCAAAUUUGUGUAGAGUUGGAACGUUUGCCGAUAGGAGCGCUGUUCCAAUUGCAUGCAAAUUUGAGUUA
rnacentral:pre_miRNA from 1 species